rnacentral:rRNA from 1 species
GACGAACGCUGGAGGCGUGCUUAACACAUGCAAGUCGAACGAUGAAAUGGAGCUUGCUCCAUGGAUUAGUGGCGGACGGGUGAGUAGCACGUGAAUAACCUGCCCUUAAUUUUGGAAUAACCCAGGGAAACCUGGGCUAAUACCGGAUAAGUAAACCUGUGGCAUCACAUGGUUUUGGAAAGUUUUUCGAUUAAGGAUGGAUUCGCGGCCUAUCAGCUUGUUGGUGAGGUAAUGGCUCACCAAGGCGACGACGGGUAGCCGGCCUGAGAGGGUGAACGGCAACACUGGGACUGAGACACGGCCCAGACUCCUACGGGAGGCAGCAGUGGGGAAUAUUGCGCAAUGGACGAAAGUCUGACGCAGCGACGCCUCGUGAGGGACGAAGGUCUUCGGAUUGUAAACCUCUUUCAGCAGGGACGAAGCGAAAGUGACGGUACCUGCAGAAGAAGCACCGGCUAACUAUGUGCCAGCAGCCGCCGUAA